rnacentral:miRNA from 1 species
UGUUACAGUCCUUAAGGUUCACAAACAUAAUGAGAUGUUUGUGAACCUUAAGGACUGUAACA